rnacentral:siRNA from 1 species
UGCAGAUGGAGUUAAGGUUGAC